rnacentral:rRNA from 1 species
AGCGGACAGAAGGGAGCUUGCUCCCGGAUGUUAGCGGCGGACGGGUGAGUAACACGUGGGUAACCUGCCUGUAAGACUGGGAUAACUCCGGGAAACCGGAGCUAAUACCGGAUAGUUCCUUGAACCGCAUGGUUCAAGGAUGAAAGACGGUUUCGGCUGUCACUUACAGAUGGACCCGCGGCGCAUUAGCUAGUUGGUGGGGUAAUGGCUCACCAAGGCGACGAUGCGUAGCCGACCUGAGAGGGUGAUCGGCCACACUGGGACUGAGACACGGCCCAGACUCCUACGGGAGGCAGCAGUAGGGAAUCUUCCGCAAUGGACGAAAGUCUGACGGAGCAACGCCGCGUGAGUGAUGAAGGUUUUCGGAUCGUAAAGCUCUGUUGUUAGGGAAGAACAAGUGCGAGAGUAACUGCUCGCACCUUGACGGUACCUAACCAGAAAGCCACGGCUAACUACGUGCCAGCAGCCGCGGUAAUACGUAGGUGGCAAGCGUUGUCCGGAAUUAUUGGGCGUAAAGGGCUCGCAGGCGGUUUCUUAAGUCUGAUGUGAAAGCCCCCGGCUCAACCGGGGAGGGUCAUUGGAAACUGGGAAACUUGAGUGCAGAAGAGGAGAGUGGAAUUCCACGUGUAGCGGUGAAAUGCGUAGAGAUGUGGAGGAACACCAGUGGCGAAGGCGACUCUCUGGUCUGUAACUGACGCUGAGGAGCGAAAGCGUGGGGAGCGAACAGGAUUAGAUACCCUGGUAGUCCACGCCGUAAACGAUGAGUGCUAAGUGUUA